CCCAAGUAAGAUCUCUUAGUAGUCCCUUCUUCUGUUGCUUAAUUCUAUCGGCGCAUAUAAGUUCUUGUGCCUCAUUUUCACAUACAUGUCUUUAUUUUUUUGAAAUGGUAAGAAUAUGAUAGAUUGAUUGUAAACCUUUUUUGUUACUAUUAUUUUGCUGAAAUGGUAAGAAUUGUACAUGACAAAAUGGGAGUUGAUUUUAACUAAUGCAACCUUUGUUCCAUAGGUUUCUGGUUCUAUUUUCCUAAUGACUUGCCAGCGGAUUGGUCUCUAUCUUGUGGAAAAGGUAGGAUGUAAAUGUCAGCACUAACUGCUAUGUUUUUGGCGCUUUCCAGCAAUAUCUGUGAGAUUGGAGAUGAGGCAUUUAAGUGGCAAACACGUUCCUAUUUUUCCCAUUUGAAGCCACUGAGAACUAUAUAACAAGUAGCUUAUGUCCAGCUACAAUUCAAUUUAGUGAGAUCCCUGAGGAUAAAAUGCUUCUUUAGCUUACAUAUAAGGAUGGCUUCUCUCUUUUGAUAGU